GGAAGGAUCAUUAACUAAAUCCGCACACAACAUGUGUGCAUAAACCUUGUGAAUAGCCCCUCGGGGACGUUGGAUGCCAACGAUCUAUAUCUUAGAGUCUGAAUUUUUUAAAAUAUUAAAAAACAACUUUUAACAAUGGAUCUCUAGGCUCUUGCAACGAUGAAGAACGCAGCGAAAUGCGAUACGUAAUGUGACUUGCAUUUAUUUGUGAAUCAUCGAAUCUUUGAACGCAACUUGCACUUUCUGGGUCUACUAGAAAGUAUAUAUAUUUGAGUAUCAGAAUAAUCUAUCCAACAGCUAGUUGGGACGUGACCCGACUACACGUAGUAGGUCUAAAUGGAUUGCAAUCAAAAUGUGGUAAAAGACGGAUGUUCUUUCCCAUUGACGAUUUAAACUCUGAAUUAUGAUCUCAAAUUAUAUAAGAAUACCCGCUGAACUUAAGCAUAUCAGUAAGCGGAGGAAAAGAAACUAACAAGGAUUCCCUCAGUAACAGCGAGUGAAGCGGGAUGAGCUCAAAUUUAAAAUCUGGGAGGUCACCUCUCCGAAUUGUAGUUUAAAGAGGCGUUUUCCGUGGCGGCAUUGAUAAAAGUUCUUUGGAACGAGACAUCAUAGAGGGUGAGAAUCCCGUACAUGAUCUUUGCUUAGCUACACUGUGAUACGUUCUCAAAGAGUCGAGUUGUUUGGGAUUGCAGCUCAAAAUGGGUGGUAAAUUUCAUCUAAGGCUAAAUAUUGGCAAGAGACCGAUAGCGAACAAGUACCGUGAGGGAAAGAUGAAAAGAACUUUGAAAAGAGAGUUAAAUAGUACGUGAAAUUGUUAAAAGGGAAGCGAUUGAAACCAGUAUUGAGCGUAUCAGUUCAGCCGAUAAACAUUAUCGGUGUAUUCUGGUGCGCCCAAGUCAACAUCAGUUUUGCUUGCUGGAUAAAGCUUUGGGGAAGGUGACUUUGUCUUCGGGCAAAGCCUUAUAGACCCACUGUGUAACGGUGUGCGGGACUGAGGAACGCGGCUGCAUAUCUUUGGUGUGGACACUGCAGGCGCGGUUGCCUAGGCUUCUAAAGACUAGGGAAACGCGCUGGUGGUCGAGAUGCCAAUGUGUAGUUUAGGAUGUUGACGAAAUGGUUUUAAACGACCCGUCUUGAAACACGGACCAAGGAGUCUAACACAUAUGCAAGUAUUUGAGUGUUAAACUCUAAUGCGCAAUGAAAGUGAGUAGAUGGGAAUCGCAAGAUGCACCAUCAACCGAUCUUGAAGGUUUACUGAAUAGAUUUGAGUAAGAGCAUAUUUGUUGGGACCCGAAAGAUGGUGAACUAUGCCUGAAUAGGGUGAAGCCAGAGGAAACUCUGGUGGAGGCUCGUAGAGGUUCUGACGUGCAAAUCGAUCUUCAAAUUUGGGUAUAGGGGCGAAAGACUAAUCGAACCAUCUAGUAGCUGGUUCCCUC
rnacentral:misc_RNA from 1 species